UGGGGAAUAUUGCACAAUGGGCGCAAGCCUGAUGCAGCCAUGCCGCGUGUGUGAAGAAGGCCUUCGGGUUGUAAAGCACUUUCAGCGAGGAGGAAGGUGGUGAGCUUAAUACGCUCAUCAAUUGACGUUACUCGCAGAAGAAGCACCGGCUAACUCCGUGCCAGCAGCCGCGGUAAUACGGAGGGUGCAAGCGUUAAUCGGAAUUACUGGGCGUAAAGCGCACGCAGGCGGUUUGUUAAGUCAGNUGUGAAAUCCCCGGGCUCAACCUGGGAACUGCAUUUGAAACUGGCAAGCUAGAGUCUCGUAGAGGGGGGUAGAAUUCCAGGUGUAGCGGUGAAAUGCGUAGAGAUCUGGAGGAAUACCGGUGGCGAAGGCGGCCCCCUGGACGAAGACUGACGCUCAGGUGCGAAAGCGUGGGGAGCAAACAGGAUUAGAUACCCCU
rnacentral:rRNA from 1 species